UGAUAGCUGCUUUAAAAAGACUUGGUGAAUCGGUCUUAGAUACCAGUGUUUCAGAGUUCUGCUUUGUAGGGAAAAAGCUCCUUUUUCCUUCUAGGAAGCUGGUUGCAGAGCAUUCCUUGCUUCAGACCUCUCUUUGCCACGUUAUUGUUGACAAUAUCGUAGGUCUGCCACCAUCCAACAAUCAACCCAACCUGCUCUCAUCUCUGUAUCCAAUAGCACUAUUCCCAUCCUCAAGGACAGCCAUCAGCCAGCCUUUGUUUUCCGUGUAUAAUUGCAGGGGGCUGAGUGGAUCAUAAAAAGGCCAAAAGGAAGUUUUACAUAAACAUAGACACAGACACAGAUACAGACACACACAUACAUAUAGCUAUAGAUACAGAUGGACAAAACCAAAGAAAUUUCCCAGAUAAAGCAAUCAAGUAAAACUCCUUGGCAUAGAGUGAAGGCUGAACACAGUGCUGAUCCCUCCUUCUCAACAAGGAUGUAUUAGAAAGGGAAAAAAUUCACAGAAUGGUGUGAAAAAUGACCAGUUGUAUGGAAUGGAUUCCUUAAACUGAACUUCAAAUUAUGGCUCUUCAUUCUGGAAAACAGGCGACUGGAGAGACUAUGACAUACAUCUACAAAGUGUAGCAUGAAAAUGU